rnacentral:rRNA from 1 species
AGAACGAACGCUGGCGGCACGCCUAACACAUGCAAGUCGAGCGCCCAGCAAUGGGAGCGGCGGACGGGUGAGUAACACGUGGGAAUAUGCCUUUCGGUACGGAACAACUCAGGGAAACUUGAGCUAAUGCCGUAUACGCCCUUACGGGGAAAGAUUUAUCGCCGAAAGAUUAGCCCGCGUCUGAUUAGCUAGUUGGUGAGGUAAUGGCUCACCAAGGCUUCGAUCAGUAGCUGGUUUGAGAGAACGACCAGCCACACUGGGACUGAGACACGGCCCAGACUCCUACGGGAGGCAGCAGUGGGGAAUCUGGACAAUGGGGAAACCCUGAUCCAGCGAUGCCGCGUGAGUGAUGAAGGCCUUCGGGUUGUAAAACUCGUUUCGACGGGGACGAUAAUGACGGUACCCGUAGAAGAAGCUCCGGCUAACUUCGUGCCAGCAGCCGC